rnacentral:rRNA from 1 species
AGUGAACGCUGGCGGUAGGCCUAACACAUGCAAGUCGAACGGCAGCACAGUAAGAGCUUGCUCUUACGGGUGGCGAGUGGCGGACGGGUGAGGAAUACAUCGGAAUCUACUUUUUCGUGGGGGAUAACGUAGGGAAACUUACGCUAAUACCGCAUACGACCUACGGGUGAAAGCAGGGGAUCUUCGGACCUUGCGCGAUUGAAUGAGCCGAUGUCGGAUUAGCUAGUUGGCGGGGUAAAGGCCCACCAAGGCGACGAUCCGUAGCUGGUCUGAGAGGAUGAUCAGACACACUGGAACUGAGACACGGUCCAGACUCCUACGGGAGGCAGCAGUGGGGAAUAUUGGACAAUGGGCGCAAGCCUGAUCCAGCCAUACCGCGUGGGUGAAGAAGGCCUUCGGGUUGUAAAGCCCUUUUGUUGGGAAAGAAGAGCAGCAGGUUAAUACCCCGCUGUUCUGACGGUACCCAAAGAAUAAGCACCGGCUAACUUCGUG